UGGGACUGAAACAGGUGAAUGAAACUUCACACAACCACUGUUUUGUCCCCGGUGGAUUCCUAGGGAGUAUCUCAGUGCCUUGCACUCAAUACUGUUUAUUGAGUAAAGGAAUCAAUGAGUACAAACAUGUUCUUAUGAAAGCAAUCACCCAUAAGGCUACACACAUCUCUAAUUCUCAUUUGGUUUUAACUUCCCCAUUGCAAUUAAAAGUCUACCUUCAUUUACAUGCAUAUCAACCAACAUCCCCCAACAAAAAAAAGAAAGUUGCAUGAAAAAAAAAUAGAAAAGCUAUGAAUUUCCACCAUGUCCCAGAUUUUCCAAAUAAUCCUGCCGUUCGGAAGCCUGUUCAUAGACCCCCAAAGUACUGAAAGGCCUUGCAAAAUGCUCAUAGGUGAAACAGCGGAAAGCAUCUAGAGCCAUCUCAGAGGGAGCCUUCUGCUUCCAGAAAUAAAGUCACACAUUCACAGGUGCUUCCUGUUUUUUCAAACACCUUGCCCACCUUCUGCACACCAAGCGUGGAUUCUGCAAAACGUGAGCCCAACAGGAAGCUGUCUGCAAUUUCAGGUAGCUUUUCUGACUCUUAAAGAGAUCUCAAGUAUACUUUCAGAGAAAUGCCAGCAAAAACUGAAGUCAUUCGGGAAGGAGUAAGUCUGGAAGAAAAAGAUACAGUGAACUAGCACAACGAGGAGUUUGAAAAGUUCAUGACAGCUCACAGCUCACGAUGGUGGCGAUCUUAAGGAUACAGAAAGCUCAUUCCUCAUGCAGGGAAGAAGAAAAUAUUCUAAAGAAGAGAUAAGCAUAUUCCGCGAAAUCAAAAAAGGCUAGAAGCUCAGCAACUGCUAACAGCCAGCUGGAGGGAGAAAGUCCCUGACGUACAAUGGUUUGACUUGUGAUUUUUCAGCUUUGCCGUGAGUUUAAUGGGACAUAACCCCAUUGUAGAUUGAGGAACAUCUGUACUUAUGAAACACCUCCACCUCUACACAAUUUGUUGUUGGUGGUAGCAGUAGUGGGGGCAUGUUAUGGGGGUGAUUCUUGACAGCUCACUGAUAUCUAUAUGAAGGGGUGGAUAGAAUGAUAAAUGGUAGGUGUGAUGUGUUGAUGGGACAAAGGGCCAAAAAGUUCAGCAGAGAGGUUGGGAAGAGAAGUGUCAUGAAAGGUGACAGAAAGCUCCACAUGCCAGCUUAUUCCCUGGGCUAAAAACCAUUAAUGACUUUCCCUCUGUCCUCUCAGCUUGUGUAAAAUACCUAAGAAAUAAAAUCAAGGUUCCUCUUUUGAAAUUAUUGUGCUAAACUCUUGAGUCAGCAAUGCUGUAUGAAUUUGCAUCUCUACUUUUGCAAGAACUAUUUAUUUAGAGAGCACUAUCUUGUGAAGAUGUUUUGUGGGAUGUAUGACCAUCAAGAUCAAGUCACUGUAAUCCUGAUGAUAACCAGUCAGGGGUAUGAAAGUGGGAAGGUUGGCCCCUAGGUGUAUUCUGACUGCUCAAAUCAGUCCUGUAAAAUUGAAACUAACCUACCUGAGCCAGCUCCUAUCCACCUGAUAGGAUACAAAGACGACUCACGGGCCUGUGGGUUCUUACGUACAAGCUGCUGUUUUUCCCCUCUACUGAUCGUGGGAAUUUCCAGCUCAGGAGUUGUGUUGGCAUGCUGUCCUGGACAGAGUGAAAGCAGGAGGACCUGGCCACACAUGUGCUUAGAUACUGCUUUCCUUUGUCCAGUGAGAGGUUGGAAAGGUGCUUACAGAAUCACAAAAAUA